rnacentral:rRNA from 1 species
UGGGGAAUUUUGGACAAUGGGGGCAACCCUGAUCCAGCCAUGCCGCGUGAGUGAAGAAGGCCUUCGGGUUGUAAAGCUCUUUCGGCCGGGAAGAAAUCGCGCCUGUGAAUAAUGGGCGUGGAUGACGGUACCGGAAGAAGAAGCACCGGCUAACUACGUGCCAGCAGCCGCGGUAAUACGUAGGGUGCGAGCGUUAAUCGGAAUUACUGGGCGUAAAGCGUGCGCAGGCGGCCUGACAAGACAGCUGUGAAAGCCCCGGGCUUAACCUGGGAACUGCGGUUGUGACUGUCAGGCUAGAGUGUGGCAGAGGGGGGUGGAAUUCCACGUGUAGCAGUGAAAUGCGUAGAGAUGUGGAGGAACACCGAUGGCGAAGGCAGCCCCCUGGGUCGCCACUGACGCUCAUGCACGAAAGCGUGGGGAGCAAACAGG